GGCUCCUGGCCGCCGGCUGCUACCCGCGCUCCGUGGGCAGGGCCAGUCCGGGGGAGCGGACCCCGAGAGGCGCGGCGGGAUGGCAGGCGGUGUCCAAAAGCCUCUGAAAGUCGCAGCCGGGCGCGAGUCGCUGACCGACCGGGAGGCCCCGAUCUGUCCCAGCCAAGGCCUCCCGGCGCCAUCACCCACCAGGAGUCCCGGGCGGGGGCAUCGCUCCCUCCACGCUGUCGCGGGCUUCUGCCAGGCGGUGAUCUGUGCCCAACGCCACCAAAGGGCAGCUUGUGCCCAAGAGUGGGGGAAAUGCAUCCUUCCCGGGGAUCUGAAAGCUCCAGGUCCUCCUGCCAGGAGCCCACGGCCUCAGAUGGCGCCCAGGACGCGCCCGCGCUGGGGAAGCGCCCCCUGCACCUGAGCCCGAAAUUGUCCCCAACAAACCCCACACCCGCAGGGCUGACGUUUGGACUCCGGGGUGCGGUGUCGAUGAAAUGGGCACCGCGUGCUUUCCAUGCAAAAGACACGGAGUCUGGAGUUUAUGGAAUUAUUGAAGGAAAGCCGCGCCAGUGCCAAGAGAUCAUGGCCCAGAGCUGGCAGAACUGAUCAGACCAAUGCUGAGCAAAAGGCCUGAAGAAGACCAUCUGGAGGAGCAUCCCGAGGGCUUUCCCCAAAGCACCAGAUCGCCUUCCUUUCCGAGGCCACAAAGGCGAGAACUUCCAGAAAUAGCAUGAAACACGGUGACUUGGUGACAUCCAAGCCUGCUGCCACCGUGGUUUCCGGGAAGGCAGAAUCAAGGCAUGAAGUAAUCCACGCCAACCACGCUCCUCUGAGGGCUGAGCAAGACAUCGAUAGUGGGUGAAGGCAAGUGUUUGUCCCAGGAGAGGCCCAGGAUGGUUGGUCCCUUGAAGUCACCCGCCAGUCUGAAGGCCCAGGGGACUUGAGCAAUACCAAGAACUGGCCACGGUCAGUAGGGUAAAUAUUGGCAUCUUACCUGCAGAAGGGAGGGAUGCAGCGAGCGAGG
rnacentral:lncRNA from 1 species